rnacentral:ncRNA from 2 species
AACUAUGACUCGGGGUGCCCUUGCUUAACCGCAGGCUGAGAUAAAACCCGUACCACCUGAACUGGAUAAUGCCAGCGGAGGGAAGUCAGAUGCCCCAGCC